AACAAAUUAUAUUCUCAUAAAACAAUGUACUUGAUACUAAUUCUUGCAUGUCUAUAAACUUGCAACUUAGGCUUCUAGUCUGGUAAGCACAUGGUUAUAGGCUACAUAGUUCAUUUCUAUACAAGCACUAAGAAGAAAACUACAAUGAUUGUGACUUUGGGUAUUUGAACAUUACAUAUUGUUAUUUUUAAGGCAGCAUGUGAGGUAAAGCCAGAGUUACUAAUUGUAUGCAUUUAUAGCCUUGCACUUUUGUGCGCUCUGUGAACUGAUGUCUUGUAAAUUGGGAUAUGUG
rnacentral:misc_RNA from 1 species